GGGAUCACAACGGGAAAGCAAAGGGAUCAUUGAAGAGACCCCAACAUCUGAAGCUUUGAUUGGCAUGAAUUAACAGUUGCUGAUAAAGUCUAAGUGGAAUCUUGAUCUAUCUCAUUUCUCUGCUUGCAUUACUGAGCUAUGAGGAGGGCUGCAAUACAUGACAGUUUAAUUUGGAAAAUAAGGAUUGCAGCAACAUGAACAUUGGUGCAGAAAGUACCUUCUGGUGCUGAAAGUUCUGCUGAUUUGAUGUUGCUUGCACAGUCUCUUCUGCAGGUAGUGUCAUUAUACAAAACUAGGAUGCAGAUGAACAGAUGCUCUCCCUCCCCAAACAAGGACCAAACUGCUCACUCAGUUCUUCCUUGCUGCUCCCUUUUGUGAAGACACACUGCUACGUCCUGUGUCUAUUUUUAUUAACACACCCAGCAGCAGGUAACACAAGCAUAAAAUGGGGGUUGCAUGUUGGGCUGCUCCACUAUAAACUAAGCAUUUUUAAGGUUUGUGUUUGAACCAUCAGUCUCCUGGUUUUAAAAAACAAGAUCCCAAACAUGCAACCUUAUAAUAAUCCUGAUUGCUGGCUUGUUUAUGGAAGAUAAGCUUCAAAAGUUUGCAGUUCUUGUAUGCUUAACAGUAAAGCAAACAUACCCAAGGCAUCAUUUUCAUUGCCUUUCAGCAUAGGACCUAGUUAGAUGCUUUAUAUUUUUUGCCAUCAUGUCCAAAUCUCCCAGAAAAUCAAAUGCACUGCCUGGCUAGUCAUCCCUUUCCCCUAAUGGUUUUGCUAAGGUUGAUUGCAGGUGCAUUGAGCUGGGAGCCUGAGCUAAAUAGUAUUGAAAGGAGUGACAUAUGAUAGGCUUUCAUUGUUAUAAGUUAAGCUGGGCUGCCCUGUCUCAAUGUCACAAUACCAGGCAAAGUUUAGCCCAUUAUGGGAACACAUCACUGACUUUGAUUGAUUUCAGGGGGCCCAAAUCUUCAAACUAUGGCACAUUCUCAUUUCGAAUAUACACUUUCUUUUAUGAAUGCAUGCAAAUGUUUUGUAUGACCUAAACUGUAUGUGCAAAUUUAGAAACUGUUGGAAAAUGGGACCCAGAAAAUCCAUUUGCUUGACUGGGUCAAUGAAACAGAACUCUCUUGCCUGUUUAUUUAUUACUGAACAGCUGUCACAAUUGCAGAGAUAGGGUUAGAUCUCCAGCUGCUGUAAAUUGGCAGUGAUUUCAAUGGUCUAAUUACACCAGCUGAGGAUCUGGCCCAGAAUGUUUCAUUCUUGUCUUGAGCAGAACAAAGAAUUGGCUGGCUGUAAGAAAUCAAGACCUGUUAUUGUUGUUUCUAAAGCAAUUUGGUUUGGACUAUGCAGGUAUGCACAUUUCCUCUAUUCAUCCUAGUGUAGCAGUAAUCUUAUAUAUUGCUAUAAAGUAGGAGGUCUGAAAACUUCACGUCUGAAGUAAUAGGAUGUCAUAUAGAAGAUUGUCUGUUAGGAAAAUGUGUUAUUAUCUAAAAAAAAAGAUUAUUUUAAACCAAGUCAAAACAAAUUAUCUUGACAUGCCUGACAUAAUAGCAUAUGCAAUUUGAAUGAUCACAAUU